GGCCACAUCUGCCAGAGCCUGGAGUCUGCGAAGGCCGGGACCCGGUUCCCCGGCCCACAGUGGGGGUGUGCAAACCCGAGAGAACUGGGUAAGUUGGGGUCGGCUUGCAGUUUGGGGUACCCCGAGGGCGGUGUACGUCGGUAAGAUUGUAACAGUAUUACUGGAAGACUUAUUCGACUGUCCUGAUGAUACUUGUAAUAGGAAGUGCCGUCAGAAGCGAUAACUGACGACGUCUAAUGUCUAUCUGACCGCAGUCGCUGAAACCUCUACAACUUAGUUGACCGUAACUGCCAGAGCCCUGCCCUGAAUUCCUGUCCUUACUCCCUCUUUAAGAUUGCGUACCCACUGCAGAGUGCUGAAGACGGGGUAGCCACGAGGUUGCAAAUUCGUGAAGAAUCAGCAUCAUGUUUGGCAGCUGAGUAUUGGAGCCAGGAGCCUGCCAUGAGGUUUUGAGAACAGAGUGCUGUUUUAGAGCUGGCAGCAGCAUCUCAGCCCAAGAGAAGGUUAUAUUCCCAGAGGAUGUCAGUCCCAAGGACCAGUAGCUGCCAUCAGUUUGGAUUCUGAAAACUAACUGGCAUCAACACUGGGUGUAGAAACAUGCUUGCCUUAUGUAUCAGAGGACAUGCUCAGCAGAUCCAAGAGAUAUAUUUGGCAACUUUUUCUAGAAAAGGCACAUUGGGUAUCAUUCAUUACAUUCUUGAGUUUUUUUGGGUUUUUUUUUUUUUUUUUGAGACAGUCUUGCUGUAUUGCCCAGGCUGGAGUGUGGUGGCACAAUCACAGCUCAUUGCAUCCUCAAUCACCCAGGCCUAAGCAAUCCUCCCACCUUGUAGCUGGGACUACAGCUCACAGCACACCUGGCUAAAAUUUUUUUUUUGUUGAGACGGAUUCUCUAUGUUGCCCAGGCUGGUCUCAGGCUCCUGGGCUCAGAUGGUCCUCCUGCCUCAGCUUCCAAAGGCACAGGCCAAGUU
rnacentral:lncRNA from 1 species